CUACAGUCUUAUCGUUCGUUCGUUUCCUUUGCGUCCAAAACUUUUAACACUGGACAUUAUUUUUUUCUUUUAAUUAAAAAUUGAAUCGUCUUAGAACUUGGACACAACAACGUUUUGGACAAAAUAUUCAAGUAAACCAGACUGAUAUUAACUGAAGAAUUACCUUGAUCUUUAAGGUCAAAUAUAUGAAAUUUGCUUGAUUUUUUCUGCAACAAAUUAUAAUUGGUCAUAACUUUGUUAUUUAUUAAUGAAUUGUCUUCAUGCAUGAAUACAAUAAUCCUCUGGAUGGACUAGUUGGUCUGAUAAUUGUUAUUUGUGAGUUCUUUGCUAUCAUUUUAGGCUUAAACUUUGAAAUUAAUGAAUGUUUUGUCUUCAAACUUGUGCACAAUCCUUUUGACAAGAAAUUAAAGACAUUAAAUGUCAAUUUCGUGAAUUUUGCUAAAAUUGAAUACAGUUUUAAUUUGAACAAUUAUACCAAAACCCGUACGCCGAACAAUUCAAAUAUGACCUUAACCUUAAUUUGACAUUGACCGCUAAGGUCAAAUAAUUGAAAUUUGCUAAAAAUAAUGGGCAAAAUAACACAUGUGAUAAAAAUGACAUGUUGGAUUAUUUUGAUAUGACCUUGACCUUUGAAAUUUAAUCGUAACAAAAGAAGAAAAAAAUGAAAAAAUAAAAUUGAUUUUUAGGAAAACUGUUUACUAUAAUAUUUUGCAUGUUAUUGGCUUUAAAAAGCAGAAAACGUAGAGCGUACUCUCGCUUUGUGAAGGCAUUUGUUAUAAUUUUAGGAUUACCUCAAAUCAGUCAUCAUGGAGAAAUAUCCACCGGUUGGAGAGCCGUUAGCUGAGACUUACGCACUUUCAAGUAUCAAACGUUAUGUCCAGGAAAUCUUACCAGUUCUGGCUGAAGAUUUCGACAGUUUGGAAGAGGCACCUUACAACCGACAUAACGUUAAAAGAGGCAAAAUCUGUAUAUGUCAACAUCUUGAACUUGUGAUGUAAUUGUGUCGUCCAUUUGUAAUUUCAACCAUAUGCAUAUGAUCACAGAGUAAAGUAAAAGUUCUGAUUAUAAUA